rnacentral:rRNA from 1 species
GACGAGCUACACAAACGUUAUUCGGAAUUACUGGGCUUAAAGGGUGCGUAGGCGGUACUGCAAGUCGGGUGUGAAAUACCUCAGCUUAACUGAGGAACUGCAUUCGAUACUGCCGUGCUAGAGUAAGACAGAGGUAAGUAGAACUUCGGGUGGAGCGGUGAAAUGCGUUGAUAUCCGAAGGAAUACCGGUGGCGAAGGCGACUUACUGGGUCUUCACUGACGCUGAUGCACGAAAGCUAGGGUAGCAAACGGG